rnacentral:rRNA from 1 species
AUUGAACGCUGGCGGCAUGCCUUACACAUGCAAAUCGAACGGUAACGGGCCUUCGGGUGCCGACGAGUGGCGAACGGGUGAGUAAUACAUCGGAACGUGCCCGAUCGUGGGGGAUAACGAGGCGAAAGCUUUGCUAAUACCGCAUACGAUCUACGGAUGAAAGCAGGGGACCGCAAGGCCUUGCGCGGACGGAGCGGCCGAUGGCAGAUUAGGUAGUUGGUGGGAUAAAAGCUUACCAAGCCGACGAUCUGUAGCUGGUCUGAGCGGAUGAUCAGCCACACUGGACCUGAGACCCGGCCCAGACUCCUACGGGAGGCAGCAGUGGGGAAUUUGGGCCAAUGGGCGCAAGCCUGAUCCAGCCAUGCCGCGGGCAGGAUGAAGGCCUUCGGGUUGUAAACUGAUUUUGUACGGAACGAAAGCCUUCUUUUAAUACAGGAGGGUCAUGACGGUACCGUAAGAAUAAGCACCGGCUAACUACGUG